rnacentral:lncRNA from 1 species
UUGCUGGCAUCCUCCUGCCUCAGCCUCCCGAGUGCUGGGAUCGCAGGUGUGCACCAUGCUCAGCUUCCCUAUUUUUUUUUUAAACGUCUCUUUCUGCUUAGACUUGUUGCAGCUGGUUUCUGUCACUGGCUACCGAACAGUUCUAAUGAAUACAAAACACAGGCGCUCACUGGGCCUGUCAGAUCCCGGGUCACCUGCGGAGGGACAUGUCCUGUGUGUGCGCUGCGGUCUGAUCCCUGGUGAAGCGGUUCCUGGUGCUGCCACCAAGGCUACCGCUGUUUGCCUGGUGUCCCAGGGUUCCGCAUGAAGCCCACACUGCCCACCCCGACGCGGGAGGAAGCGUUCCGGGAAGAUGGUGUCUCAGUGCCCUUCCGUGCCAGCUGCCUGUCCCGCCUGUCAGCUCGGGCUCGCCCAGGUCACCUCCUGCUCCUCUGUGAGCUCAGGCCGCUACCUCUCCCCCCACCGCAAGGCUGAGCCAUCACGCCCAAUCCGCUGCCCUCUGCACCCAGCAGAAAGCCGAGGGAGGAGGCACCGCACCUGCCUCUGAUAAGUAUCGCAGAAAUGCAAAAUUCAACUUGGCUGUGGGGCAGGGUGGGGCCGACAGGACCGACUGGCUCCCCGCUGGCAGCGUUGGCAGCGGCUGUGCAUAUUUGCAAUGCUUCCUCCAGCCUGCGACAACCGACUGCAAACAGCACAGCGCUGGGUCGCUGGCUGCGGGGAGCUGGUUUGUGCAGAGAAGCAGGGAGCACUGUUUGCAGCAAUGUUGUGAGCGCUGAACCGAGGGCCCUGGCGGAAGGAGAGGACACAGAGGUAGAAAGACACCCACGGACAAACAGCACGGUCCAGCCCGAGGGGUCACUGCCAGGAGCACCGUGGGCGGCGCCAACCCCAUGGUCUGGCGGCUGAAGAGAAGCUGAGGAUACAGCUAGCUGUUCUCUCGGGACGGGACGUCUGGAGCCAGAGCUGGGGGAAACAGAGCACCGCCCAGGACAAGACUCAAGUGGAAGGGAAAGCAAGAGAUUGAAGAGGCGAAGGGAAGACUCAGGAGUGAGGAGGGCCCUCGCCACAGAGAGCAGUUUGGCCUUUACUGGGUGACUCUCAGAUCGAGUCUGGGCUCUUUUUUCAGUCACUGCUUUGCUUUAUCCCCGGUGCCUACAAAACCCCAGGCACCGAAUGAAGCCAAGAAGUGGCCGGCGAUGCCUUUUUAAAAAUUCAGAUGUGAAGAAGGAGUCAGAGGGCCCUGGGCUCUCCACAGUGGGGUUGGAGAGGCGGCUCUUAACUGGCGAUGGGAAGGUGUGAAGUGUGGGCAGGCGGGAAGGAAGUGGAAGUCACCCAGCACGGCUCCAGAGCCUUCACUCUCACAGGCAAUGAAAGGAAGGCACUCGACGGUCACUUCCUUCCAGAAGCCUCAUUGGAGUCACGUGGCUGGGGCUCCUACAACUCAGCAACUGACGUGGUGCUUCCUGUACACUUUCCUCUUGUUUUAUGAGAUAACACCCAAGAUAAACACGAAGCAGCCAGCUCUCUUUUAUAGCAUUUCUCUGGUGGGCAGAAGCUACCUAAGAUAAAUAUGUUUACAGAUAGAAAUAUGGUUGGGUUGCGGAGGGGGGGGAUAGUCCUUCCACUUGUGUAUUUUUUCCCCUUAGGAUUUAAAAAGAAAAAUCUUUAAUGUUUUUUAUUUUGCUGUAAGCCAGUGGGGAACCAUAAUUACAGAGCUGUUUGUCAAAAAACAAACAAAACACACAUGCGCAAUAGUAGCAGCUAUGCAUUAGUGCCUCUUUAUAAUUAAGAUGAAGGUGAUAUGAAAAAUAUAUUUUAGGCCAGGCAUGGUAGAGCAAGCCUCUAAUCCUAGCACUCAAGAGGCUGAGGCAGGAGGAUUGCCAGUUCAAACCUGGCCUGAGUGACAUAGUGAGAUACUGCCUCAAAAAUCAAAAAGAGAGGGUCGGGGAUUUAGCUCAGUGGUUCCGCCACCUGCUUCACUAGCACAAGGACCUGAGUUCGAUCCCCGGUACCGGGAAAAAAACAAAGAGGAAGGAAGGAAGAGAGGAAAGGAGGGAAAGAAGUAUUUUCUGCAGUAUCAUUGAUUCUGUUAUCCUCCUGCUCAUUCCCCUUUGCUUAUCUGCUUUUUCUGAAGGGCAGGUGUCCUUACGCAUCAGCACUUUCUAGGUGGCUGAGUGCCUCAGCCAGGUUUCUACCUGUGCCACCCUUGACAUUUCAACCACACAAGGGCACAGAAGGGGUCAUAGGGCUCGGGUUUCCUUCCAGAAGAGAUGAGAUCCUACUCUCCAAAGUGGACCCUUUGACCAGUGCUCCCUAAAGCUGAAAUCUUGUGGAGUAGAUGUGCUAGUGUUUUGUCUGCUGGUUUUGUGGUCCUGGGGAUUGAACCCUGGGCCUUGUGUAUGCCAGGCAAGUGCUCUUCCACUGAGCUAUAUCUCCAGCCUUUCUGGUUUUAUUUAUUUCCAGACAUGGUCUUGCAGAGUUGCUCAGGCUGGCCUUGACUUUCAAUUCUCCUGCCUCAGCCUCCUCAGUAGCUGGAAUUACAGGCACACGCUAUCACACCUGGCAUGUGAUAUUUUUGGUUAGAUCUCUGGCUGUUAUUUUUAAGAAAUGAGUGCUUACAGUUCCUCAAAUUAUCACAGUGGAUCAGGGAUCAUGUGCUUCCUGUUUGGACACAAGGGCCCCUCUUACUCCCCACUCUGGCCUUUGAGGUGUUUAUCACGAAUCUGGCCGAAAGUCUCCCGGCGACUUCCCCUGUGGCUCUGGGUGAGCCUGCUCCUGCAUUUGGAAGCUCCCGACAUUAGAGUAAGUGGAGAAGCCAUGCAUAGAAAUCAAGCCCUGGUGGUGCACACCUAUAAUCCCAGCAUUCAGGAGGCUGAGGCAGGAAGAUUGCCAGAAGUUUGAGGGAACCCUGGGCUCCCUAAUGAGUUCAAGAGCAGCUUGGACUACACAUCGAGACUUGGUCUCAAAAACACCAAAAACAGGGCCGGGGAUUUAGCUCAGUGGUUUCACUGCCUGCUGCGCAAGUGCAAGGUCCUGAGUUUGAUCCCCCAUACCAAAAAAAAAAAAAAAAAAAGCCAAAAACAAACAAACCAGAAAUGGCUUUAAAUCUGGACUUCUGUGCUACCUUCAAAUGGGGCUGUGAAUUCACACACAAAGUUGAGCUUACAGGAGGGAAAGAAGAGAAUAUUCAUCUUGCAAUUUUAAUUUAAAUGACAAACAUUAGGGCUGGGGAUUUAGCUCAGUGGUUCUACCACCUGCUUUGCAAGUGCAACGUCCCAAGUUUGAUCCCUGGUACCAAAAAACAAAAAACAAUAAAGGACAAACACUAAAAUAUUCCAUGAUUUUGUAAAUCAUGUUUUGCUAUUUGAACAUUUUAAGAAACCUCCUACGAAGCUCAAAGGUGGAAUUGGCUCCCUUCUCUCUUUUCCCCAUUAGCAGCGGGUCACUGCUCACUGAAUAACUAGGACCUUUUUCUGGUGCUCAAGCAUCCCUUCUUCACUCCCAGGGGAGUGUUGGGGCCACAGCCAGCUUCUCCCAGUCCUGUCAGGGGUGCAGGCUCUCCCAGAGGACCUGACACAAAUACCAUCACUACAUGAGUGGUCCACCCACCUGGCCCUCACUAUUAGCCUUGCUGAGGUUCAGAUCUAAAAUGUUCCCCAAAAGUCUGUGUGUGGGAGGUGAUUGGAUCAGAGGUACCAUGCUCAUCAGGGGACUCAUCCAUGGGUGAGUUAGUUCAUGGCUGAGCUCGCUGUCAGGAGGUAAGGCCUGACCUUGUAGUGUAUUCUUGUCCCUGGCUCUUCCCUUCUCUCUCUCUGCAUCCUGGCUGCCAUGAGGUGAGCACAUUUCCUCCACCAGGCCCUUCCACUAGGCUGUUUCUGCCUUGGUGUGGGGAGCGGUGUCAGCCAAAGAAGCUCCAUUUUAAGUUUACCCUCCGUUGUAAAUAGGAGAUUAUGUUAUGGGGAACCGUGUCCUUGCCAACUCCGAUGCUUACCUUCAGAGGUUGCCUUAGAAACAAGAUAAAUGUUCUGUAACCUCAAGAAACAAAAUAGCCCUUGAGGGCGGGGAAUGUUCAAAAAACUAGUAAACAAGGAAGCAGGUGUUUUUUGUAUAAAGGUCAUGAUUAAUGACCUAACUCACUGAGUGUAUAAGAGAGGUGUAAAUAAACUUGCUUGCUUGGUCUUGGGAGCCCUCCCGACUCUGUCUCUUUGUCUUAUUUUCUCAGUCCUCCUUUCCCCCAUUCACGGCGACUUCCCCUGUGGCUCUGGGUGAGCCUGCUCCUGCAUUUGGAAGCUCCCGACAUUAGAGUAAGUGGAGAAGCCAUGCAUAGAAAUCAAGCCCUGGUGGUGCACACCUAUAAUCCCAGCAUUCAGGAGGCUGAGGCAGGAAGAUUGCCAGAAGUUUGAGGGAACCCUGGGCUCCCUAAUGAGUUCAAGAGCAGCUUGGACUACACAUCGAGACUUGGUCUCAAAAACACCAAAAACAGGGCCGGGGAUUUAGCUCAGUGGUUUCACUGCCUGCUGCGCAAGUGCAAGGUCCUGAGUUUGAUCCCCCAUACCAAAAAAAAAAAAAAAAAAAAGCCAAAAAAAAACAAACCAGAAAUGGCUUUAAAUCUGGACUUCUGUGCUACCUUCAAAUGGGGCUGUGAAUUCACACACAAAGUUGAGCUUACAGGAGGGAAAGAAGAGAAUAUUCAUCUUGCAAUUUUAAUUUAAAUGACAAACAUUAGGGCUGGGGAUUUAGCUCAGUGGUUCUACCACCUGCUUUGCAAGUGCAACGUCCCAAGUUUGAUCCCUGGUACCAAAAAACAAAAAACAAUAAAGGACAAACACUAAAAUAUUCCAUGAUUUUGUAAAUCAUGUUUUGCUAUUUGAACAUUUUAAGAAACCUCCUACGAAGCUCAAAGGUGGAAUUGGCUCCCUUCUCUCUUUUCCCCAUUAGCAGCGGGUCACUGCUCACUGAAUAACUAGGACCUUUUUCUGGUGCUCAAGCAUCCCUUCUUCACUCCCAGGGGAGUGUUGGGGCCACAGCCAGCUUCUCCCAGUCCUGUCAGGGGUGCAGGCUCUCCCAGAGGACCUGACACAAAUACCAUCACUACAUGAGUGGUCCACCCACCUGGCCCUCACUAUUAGCCUUGCUGAGGUUCAGAUCUAAAAUGUUCCCCAAAAGUCUGUGUGUGGGAGGUGAUUGGAUCAGAGGUACCAUGCUCAUCAGGGGACUCAUCCAUGGGUGAGUUAGUUCAUGGCUGAGCUCGCUGUCAGGAGGUAAGGCCUGACCUUGUAGUGUAUUCUUGUCCCUGGCUCUUCCCUUCUCUCUCUCUGCAUCCUGGCUGCCAUGAGGUGAGCACAUUUCCUCCACCAGGCCCUUCCACUAGGCUGUUUCUGCCUUGGUGUGGGGAGCGGUGUCAGCCAAAGAAGCUCCAUUUUAAGUUUACCCUCCGUUGUAAAUAGGAGAUUAUGUUAUGGGGAACCGUGUCCUUGCCAACUCCGAUGCUUACCUUCAGAGGUUGCCUUAGAAACAAGAUAAAUGUUCUGUAACCUCAAGAAACAAAAUAGCCCUUGAGGGCGGGGAAUGUUCAAAAAACUAGUAAACAAGGAAGCAGGUGUUUUUUGUAUAAAGGUAAUGAUUAAUGACCUAACUCACUGAGUGUAUAAGAGAGGUGUAAAUAAACUUGCUUGCUUGGUCUUGGGAGCCCUCCCGACUCUGUCUCUUUGUCUUAUUUUCUCAGUCCUCCUUUCCCCCAUUCAGGAACCUUUCGACUGGUGACGGCUGGUCCGUCACACCUUGGAGCCAGCAGACCAUGGACUGUACCCUCUGAAAACUGAGCCAAAUAAACCUCUCUUCCUUUAAGUUGUGGGAGUUGGGUAUUUUGUCCCAGCAAUGGGAAUGUGACUAA